GGUUUCAUCCGGCCGCUGGCAGAGCUGCUGGAGGGGCUGCGGCGGGGCCGCUACGACAGAGGGCUGAGCAGCUUCCAACAGAGCGUGGCCAUGGACCGGCUCCAGCGGAUCAUUGGGGUCCUGCAGAAACCAGAAAUGGGUGCCCGGUACCUGGGGACGCUUCUGCAGGUGGAGGCAAUGCUGCGGCUCUGGUUCCCCCACGUCGCCCCCAAACCCACGCUGG